AUGCGCCACGUAGUAGUUGUUGAAGUUGCCGUCGCUGACGUACGGAGCUGGCUGGUAGUAGCAGGUGACGUUGGUGGCGUUGGGGAUGAUGUUCUGCUCCGCCAGCACGCGCAAGGCCAGGAGGGAGAUGAGGUUCAGGGUCUGUCUGCGCUCGUGCCCCAUGAGGCACACGGUGCUCUCGUUCACCACCCUGCGGAGGAUCAUGAGGUAGUCGUACUUGCUUCUCUCUUCCUCGCCGAAGUGGUUCUGCAGGUAGGUCUCCAGCUUCCGCUGCUGCUCCAGGAUGUCCGGGAAGUCGAUGAAGAACCUGGAGCACAUGUAGCGCUCCAGGGUUUUGAUUUCCUCCUGGUCGGUGGGCCGGAAGUCCCUCACGAGAAGGUUGCUGUAUUUGAGCAGCCCCCCGCCUCGGAUCUCCUCGGGGUUCUUGGUGGCGAUCAGUCUGUUCUGCAGGUGGUCGAAGGCUUCCUCGAAGUCCCCGUACACGCUCUCCCCGAUCACCGUGGGGUGGAAGUGCUCAGAGAUGGGGUUGCUGGAGCAGUCGUAGAAGAACAGCAGAGAGUCCAGGAUGAUUUGGAAAGAGUCCACGCUGAACUCAAACUGCCGCCGGAUGGAGUCGACAAACUUGAGCUCCACGUUCCGCCCGUUCUUGUUGGAGAGCGAGAUGAGGCUCCAGCGGUCGGUGUCCGUGCACACCUUGACCAGCUUCUGCACGUAGGCCUCCUUCAGCGUGACCGGGCUGAUCUUGAGCUUGUUCACGCCCUCCGGCAGGAAGUUGAGGAGGGAGCACAGAACCACGUCCCUGACCAGCUGAAACUCCACCUCUGUCGGAAGCGCCACGUGAAAGAUCAGGUCCAGAUCUUUGCAGCCCAGGCCGUUGUCUUUGACCAACACAUGGCCGGCGGCGGAGCCAUUCAGCCGUACGUCCUGCACUUUGAUGCCCGCCUCCUCCAGCCGGCCGCGGACGGUCUGCACGAUGUCCUUCAGGGUUAUCUCCAGGGUUGGAAAGUUGCCUCGGCCGUGGAUGGGGACGACCUCGGUCAGGACCUCAUGCAGCCGGCUCACCUGCUCCCAGUUGAGCACGCUGAAGGACACGCAGUCCUUGGAGCUGCUGCUCUCCUCUGCCAUCUCGGGGGACGUACUGGUCAGGGAAGCUGGAAGUGA
rnacentral:lncRNA from 1 species